rnacentral:lncRNA from 1 species
GGCCCGUUCUAAAGCGGACGUCCGCACUUCGCUAAAGUGCGGACAGCGACGCAGCGGAGGCUAUCUAGGCGGCGACGGCGGCGCGCGGCUUGCAGGAGGGAGGCCGGAGGCAUCUCGGACGGUUCUGGGCAGCGUUCAAGGUCAGAGGAGGUCAGGGUUGCAGGUUCUGGGCAGCAACCUGACCUGCAACUGCAGGUUUUCUGGGCGGCGCUGCAACGACGUCACCAGCGACUUCCCCGACUGCAGACCUCUCUGCGCGACCCCUGGUAUCCUUCCGGCAGCCCCCGCAGCUCCGUCGGGCCCCGAGCCGAGCUGCAACGUCGCCGUCCGCACUUUAGCGAAAGUGCGGACGUCCUCUUUGGAACGGCUCCG